GAUUGAUUAUACAGCAGCAGAAGGAGCUCAGACUCACAGCUGAGAGAACGUCAGGGUGAGAGAGAGCACAAGCAAGGGAGACUGUACAUACUGUAGCAUCAGUAUGUGACUGCUGGUGUCUGACAACACCGGUAUCUUGCUCUUGAAGUGAACAACUUGCUGAGCUACCUUUUAGCAUUUGCAAGAGGAUACCAGCUCUUAACCAGUACAACUGAUAACAGACUGGACCUUGGAAUAGUUAAUUUUACUUAUAAUUGCAUCUCUUAUUGCUAUGCAUCUCUGAAGAAGCAGCUUAUUACAGAAGACAAUUCAUCCUGUCCCUGUAGUUCACAUAGCACUGAUAAGACGGAGUUUCAUCUUCCAGGUACAGUUGUGCUGCCAGAAGGACAGUGCAUGGAAAAAACACUUCUGAGUGGUUUUCAGAAGCAGCAGCUUUUUCAUGUAAGUUCUGCUUGGUGUUACAGUCUUAGGUGUUUUUUGUUUGUUUUUGGUGUGUGUGUGUGUGCACGGACAUCUGAAGAAUCAGGAGUAGCUAGAACAAGUAAAAGAAUGACACAAACUGAAACAUAAUUUUAAGGGUAAGUUGCUAGUGUACACCUGGGCAUUUGUAUAUCUUAGGAAUAAAAUGUAUGCUACAGCAUAAAGGGAAAUGUUUUCUGAUUAUGUUGUCAAAUGUCAGGAAAGUGAGUCUGUAAUUGUGAAUAAGUACAGUAGUCUCUGCUUUUAUGAUCCUUUGACUCAUUCCAUGUGUUCUGUUUGUUUAUUUUCUUACAUUUCAAAUUUGUUUUAUUUCCUUUGAAUAGCAUGUUGUAUCUGCAAUGUGUAGGAGCAAUUCAAGGAUUUACAAGUCUGUGGAUAAUGUUCCUAAGACAGCCCCCUUUUCAUAGGGACAAGUAUGAGGUACUGAAAUUCUGGAAACACAAUGUUAUUAAACGAGGGGUAGCCCCAAGUAAUAAAUGAAAUUGGAAAAUAUUGGAAGAAAAAAAUAGGUUGCUAUUCAUGUAGGGGAGCAGCAGAGGGAAUUGUCUCUCUCAUCCCUCCCUACCGUGCAGAAUUUUUGAAUCUUGGCCUUUCUUGUUAAAGAUACCAUUUUUGUCAAGGAUGAGCGUGGUAAAUGCUUCUUGUACAUAGAAGAAAAGAUGACUCUUGUGAUGUCAGGGGAAUGGGGUGGUUGGGAGAUGAGAAUGGAAAGACAGAGGUGUAAAGAGUGCUUAAAUCUGUAUCUUGUCACCUACUUUUUCAGCCUUCCCUUACAGAUCUUGUGUAGUCACUUCCUGACAUUUCCUCAAUUAAGGGAAGCAGAAAGUAGCAGCUAAAAUCAAAACUGUGACUCCAUGAAACUGAAUAAAGCUACCUGCUUGUGUUUUAUUAGUAAUUUUUACUGUCACUAAUCCUUCUGAUGCAAAAUUAAUAUUGGCAUGGAGUGGUGCCUUUCAGAUUAAGCACUGUAAACAUUCUGAAUAAUGACUAAAGGAUAAAAAAUGGCUGUUGAUAGUCAAAUGAAACAUUUUUAGAGAAUCUAAUGUUACUAUUAUUCUUGAUAUGACAAGUGCUGUGAAAAUUUCUUGCUUGUGCACUCUUAUGCCUUAACUAAUGUAGAAACUUGAUUAAUUAAAAGAUACUGUUUCAGUAUGUCUCAAACAAUACGAUUUAGAGCUAGUCAUACUAAUGUAGAUCUGAUGUAAAGGAGAGUACAAAUGAUGGGAGAUCCUCAGAUGGGUUGUUUUAUUUGAUAUCAAGAAGCCCUCAUGAGCUUGUAAUCAAUCACGUUUUCUGUCAUGUGAACCUGGUCAUCUUGUCCUGUACUUUGAUACCACCAGCAAUAAUGUUAUAGAUACAACCUAGCAGGGUGAGUGAAUGGCCAGUAAAUGACCAACAUGUAGCAUGUAAUGAAAAUAAAGCUGCUGUGAAGAACAGUUCUGGUGCU
ensembl:lncRNA